rnacentral:misc_RNA from 1 species
AAGUCGUAACAAGGUUUCCGUAGGUGAACCUGCGGAAGGAUCAUUAACACAUCCUUUUCAAUAUCAACAUUGGAGCAAUGGAAGACCCGGGCUUAGCAGAGACCGGCAACGUCGUGGUUAGGAUUCUCAUAGAUUAAUAUUUCUGGGGAAUGGCCUGCUGGUUACGUGGUGAAGAUGCGUCGGAUCCAUGAGCUGCACUCUGACUAAGUUCGGUACUACAGCCUCCUGCCUGGCUGGACCCAUUUUUUUUUAUAACUUGUAAUUUGUUCUUACUUGGAUCAGAUCGAGUGGUUCAUCCAUUCUCUGAGACAAACCCUCAUUGGAGAAAUCCAUUGAGAAACUCAAACACAACUCUUAACAGCGGAUAUCUCGGUUCUCGUAACGAUGAAGAACGAAGC